UACGUAGGGGGCAAGCGUUGUCCGGAUUUAUUGGGCGUAAAGAGCGUGUAGGCGGCUUUGCAAGUCCGUUGUGAAAACUCGAGGCUCAACCUCGAGACGCCGGUGGAAACUGACAAAGCUAGAGUCCGGAAGAGGAGAGUGGAAUUCCUGGUGUAGCGGUGAAAUGCGCAGAUAUCAGGAGGAACACCGGUGGCGAAGGCGGUUCUCUGGGCCUUACCUGACGCUGAGGAGCGAAAGCGUGGGGAGCGAACAGG
rnacentral:rRNA from 1 species